UGUUUAAAAAUUCUGAAUUGGAGCAAAGCACAGAAGAGAGAAACUUAGGGUUUGUCAUUGGCCGAUGUUAAAGAAGAAACAAUUUCACUUACUGACCGACAAAUCUAGGUUUGGGAAAAGAAUAAAUGCUGGGUUGAAAUAAAAUCCGAAUGAUUCUACGUGAUAAGUUACUUUUUCUGUUUAAUUCACAAAGAUCAGUGUAUUGCCCGGUCCGCGAAACUUCAGGGGGACAACAAAUUUAAAGCUCUGCCCUUUAACAAAUAAAGGACGCUCAAGAAUAAAGAAAGACGAUGAAGUAAUCCGUCUUCGUGUAAAAACGUCAUCCGAGCCGGUUAUCCCAAUGAAGUUCGUAUUGAUGGUUUCAGCAGGAUGCAAGCAAAGUAGGUACACUAUGGGAAGUCCAAAGAAAUUCGCAUAUCCACUAGGACCAUUGAUCAAUGCCGAGCUUUCGAUUGACUAUCAUAUAGUGAUUUUUUACUGUAUAAAACUUAUUCAAAAGGCCGUUCGGCCUCAUGUACUCGCAUCGUAAGAGGGGGUACAAAGGGGUUCCUUGUGCGGACGUUUAAGCCGAAGGUGGGGAGGCCGAAAGCUUCAAUACUGAAGACGACACGGCCAAGUAAGGCAUCAUCGACGUCUCGGCCCAAGUGUGGGUGGAAGAUGGUGAGGAUGGGCAGACGGUCAAUGUCAACCGAAGAGCAACCAGCAGAACAGUGACUAUAGCCGGUUCUGCUCUGGUUGACGUCUUUUCCCUAGGCUUGUUUUUAGAAAGGAUAGAUUAUUUUUACAGCAGUGCCACUGAUAUACAAAGUUUUGCCAUUUAUACAAUAUGACUCAGGUCUUCCCUCUGAAAUAUACUUACAUUUGUUUUUAAAAAGUUCUACAUUACCUGUUAACAUUUAUAGAAUUUUAACUUGAUGUCUAAGGAUUAAAAAGGAUUCACAAUGCAAGAAUGAUCGGAAAGAGAAAUUACCCCAGGGCAACCGAACAAUCAAACUUCCGGUCCAAAAGAUUCAUGAAAAAGUUUAUGAAGGAUAUAGGAAUUGGAGAGGAGGUAAAUCCAGGUGUCACUACAUCACGGGGGACACGUAAGAGACAUGAGACCAUAAACUACAUGAGGACCACAGAUGUGUCUCAGUGCUUACGGCCUACUUCCUUUCAUUCAUGCGGAAGUGGAAUGGCAAACUCACUUUCAAAAAAAGAAAAUCAGUUUUUUCUACUCAACGCCAAUCCAUUUCUGUUAACUCUUAACUAAACGACAUAAUAAGUAAGGACAAAACAUUACAAGGCAGCUAAGUAAGUAAUGAAGAGAGAUUAUAAAUGGUUUAUUAUUUUCACAACCUGAGAUCGAAAUGUUUCCCGUGAAAAUGAGAAGACAAGACAAUGAGUUAAAAGUGCAGAAACACACUAAAUAUCUAGCUAUAAAUAUAUAAAUAAUAACGAGCACUAUUAUGCUAAGAAAGAAUAGUUUCAUUUCUAAAACUAAUUCUAAUUCAAAAUUUAUAUUCAUUUGUACA